UGGUUCAUCCUGCCAGUAGUCAUAUACUUGUUUCAAAGAUUUAGCCAUGCAUGUGUAAGUAUGAACUAUUUCAGACUGUGAAACUGCGAAUGGCUCAUUAAAUCAGUUGUAGUUUGUUUGAUGGUACGUGCUACUCGGAUAACCAUAGUAAUUCUAGAGCUAAUACGUGCUACAAACCCUGACUUCCAGAAGGGAUGCAUUUAUUAGAUAAACGGCUGACGCGGGCUUUGCCCACUGCUCCGAUGAUUCAUGAUAACUCAACGGAUCGCACGGCCCUCGUGCCGGCGACGCAUCAUUCAAAUUUCUGCCCUAUCAACUUUCGAUGGUAGGAUAGGGGCCUACCAUGGUGGUGACGGGUGAUGGAGAAUUAGGGUUCGAUUCCAGAGAGGGAGCUUGAGAAAUGGCUACCACAUCCAAGGAAGGCAGUAGGCGUGCAAAUUACCCAAUCCUGACACGGGGAGGUAGGGAUAAUAAAUAACAAUACCGGGCUCUUCGAGUCUGGUAAUUGGAAUGAGUACAAUCUAAAUCCCUUAACGAGGAUCAUUGGAGGGCUAGUUUGGUGCUAGCAACCAUGGUAAUUCCAGCUCCAAUAGUGUAUAUUUAAGUUGUUGCAGUUAAAAAGCUCGUAGUUGGACUUUGGGACGGGUCGGUCGGUCCGCCUCGCGGUGUGCACCAGUCGUCCCAUCCCUUCUGUCGGCGAUGCGUGCCUGGCCUUAACUGGCCGGGUCGUGCCUUCGACGCUGUUACUUUGAAGAAAUUAGAGUGCUUAAAGCAAGCCCACGCUCUGGAUACAUUAGCAUGGGAUAACAUCACAAGAUUUCGGUCCUAUUGUGUUGGCCUUCGGGAUCGGAGUAAUGAUUAAGAGGGACAGUCGGUGGCAUUCAUAUUUCAUAGUCAGAGGUGAAAUUCUUGGAUUUAUGAAAGAUGAACCAUUGCGGAAGCAUUUGCUAAGGAUGUUUUCAUUAAUCAAGAACGAAAGUUGGGGGCUCGAAGACGAUCAAAUACCGUCCUAGUCUUAACCAUAUAAGAUUCCGACCAGGGAUCGGCAGAUGUUGCUCUUAGGACUUCGCCGGCACCUUAUGAGAAAUCAAUGUCUUUGGGUUCCGGGGGGAGUAUGGUCAUAAGGCUGAAACUUAAAGGAGUUGAUGGAAGGGCACCACCAGGAGUAUUUAUAGGCCCCAAACUAGUUCGAAUUUGGAGCUCAAAACUAUCAAUUCCCGGAAUUCUGGGGUCUGGCGGUUGUACCGCCUUACUGGGGCGGUUGCACCGCUGUCAGAGUUCGGAGACUGAGCACCUGGGUGGUGCCAUCGCUUGUCAGGGGCGGUUGCACUGCUUGGCAGAGCUCGGAGACCGAGCUCAAGCGGUGCCACCGCCUGAUUGGGGCGAUUGCACCGCCCAGCGAGAGCUCGGAGACUGAGCUCAAGUGGUUCCACCGCCUGUUAGGGGCGGUUGCACCGCCCAGCCAGAACUCGGAGAUCGAACCUUGGGCGGUGCCACCGCUAACCCAGCACCGCCGACCCAGGCGGUGCCACCUCUGGCUAAGUCAUCUGGGUCCGAAUGGGC
rnacentral:rRNA from 1 species